CAGCAGCCGCGGGAAUACAGAGGGUGCGAGCGUUAAUCGGAUUUACUGGGCGUAAAGCGUGCGUAGGCGGCUUUUUAAGUCGGAUGUGAAAUCCCUGAGCUUAACUUAGGAAUUGCAUUCGAUACUGGGAAGCUAGAGUAUGGGAGAGGAUGGUAGAAUUCCAGGUGUAGCGGUGAAAUGCGUAGAGAUCUGGAGGAAUACCGAUGGCGAAGGCAGCCAUCUGGCCUAAUACUGACGCUGAGGUACGAAAACAUGGGGAGCAAACAGGAUUAGAUACCCGCGUAGUCCCUGUCUCUUAUAC
rnacentral:rRNA from 1 species